rnacentral:rRNA from 1 species
UUUCCUACGGGAGGCAGCAGUUGGGAAUCUUCCACAAUGGGCGAAAGCCUGAUGGAGCAACGCCGCGUGGGUGAAGAAGGUCUUCGGAUCGUAAAACCCUGUUGUUAGAGAAGAAAGUGCGUGAGAGUAACUGUUCACGUUUCGACGGUAUCUAACCAGAAAGCCACGGCUAACUACGUGCCAGCAGCCGCGGUAAUACGUAGGUGGCAAGCGUUAUCCGGAAUUAUUGGGCGUAAAGGGAGCGCAGGCGGUCUUUUAA